CAAGAAUAAUGUCAAAAUCAUGCAUAUUUAACUGAAUCAAAUCUGCUGCUAAUUCUUUUUCUUCUAUUUGGACUAUGCAAUUUUUAAAAAUAAUGUUAGCCACAGCAAUAUUUUUAAGAGGUGUGCUCACAUAUAAUGGUUCAUUUAAUUUCUCAGACACACAAUUUAAAGAAGUAGCAAAUUUGAGAGAUAUAAAAGAGUGAGAAGAGUCAGAAUCGAAUAGCACACGAGUAUGAAUAGAAUUGACUGGGAUAGUACCUGUCACCACUUGAUCACUUGCGUUGAUCUCCUGUUGGUUUAAAGCAAACACUCGUGCAUUCCCUUUCUGUUUUUGAUCAACUGGUUUGUUAGGUCUAUAGUCAUCUUUUUUUCUUAUUUGGGCAAUCACGAGCCAUAUGUCCUUUCUCGCCACAUAAGAAGCAUGCUCCUAUCCUCUUGAGACA
rnacentral:lncRNA from 1 species